GAUCCUGGCUCAGAACGAACGCUGGCGGCAGGCUUAACACAUGCAAGUUGAACGGGAUUUGUGUGGUGCUUGCACCAUAUAAUGAGAGUAGCGCACUGGUGAGUAACACGUGGGAACGUACCUUUUGGUGGGGGACAACAUCUGGAAACGGAUGCUAAUACCGCAUAAGACCUGAGGGUGAAAGAUUUAUCGCCGAAAGAACGGCCCGCGGAAGAUUAGGCAGUUGGUGGGGUAAAGGCCUACCAAACCUACGAU
rnacentral:rRNA from 1 species